CAAAUCCUGAAAAAUCUAAGAGUAUUAAGUCUAUAAAUACUUCUAUUUCUGAAGCUUUAUCUUACAAUCUUUAUAUACAUAGUGAGCUUCUAGUAAUUCCCUAGAGGGAGUCUUUACAAUUAAUAUUUCUUUUAAAGGUUCACGACUAGUAUCAAAUUUACAAGCAAAUGCACAGGAGAUAAAAGAAUGAGGAGCACCUGUCUCGAUCAAAGUCUUGGUAAAAGUAUCAUAAAUAGAAAGCAUACCCUAGAUAAGGAUAGGAGUGGAGAGCGCACCUGGUUCGUCUAGGUGGUACACACGUCCCUGGGCUACAGGUCUUGCCACGUCCUUCUACCACUAAGGGCAAUCCCUUAUAAGGUGUUGGGUGCUUCUGCACCGAUAGCAAGCAUGAUUGAUACGUCGACAGGGUAGGUCACCUUGUGAAAGACCACAAUGCUGACAUUGUUGGAAGGGUCGGGCAGGCUUUCCAGAAGGUGGAGGUAGGGUUGGGGAAAAGGUAACUCAGGUUUGUUUAUCGA
rnacentral:lncRNA from 1 species